rnacentral:rRNA from 1 species
GGAAACGGUGAGUAAUACCGUAUACGCCCUUCGGGGGAAAGAUUUAUCGGAUUUGGAUCGGCCCGCGUUAGAUUAGGUAGUUGGUGGGGUAACGGCCUACCAAGCCUACGAUCUAUAGCUGGUUUUAGAGGAUGAUCAGCAACACUGGGACUGAGACACGGCCCAGACUCCUACGGGAGGCAGCAGUGGGGAAUCUUGGACAAUGGGGGCAACCCUGAUCCAGCCAUGCCGCGUGAGUGAAGAAGGCCCUAGGGUCGU